CCCUUGCUCUGCCCGCCCUCUCUCCACGCAGCCGCCGGGGCGCGAUGGCGGGAGCCGCCGGUUCCCCUCAGGAGCCGUUAAUCUGCGGGGAGGAGAUUCUCACAGAGGGCGGCCCGGCGGCGGGAUAACCCGUUCGGCCUUGAUUUCCUGAAUUGAUGAGUGAAGCGGUUCCCGCCUCCCAGAGGUCCGUGCACGCAUUAUGUGGUGGCACCCUCAUCCUCACCAGGGAAGUUCACUGGCCUUUGCUGUGACCCCCCCCGAGCAGCGCUCUUUUUCUCCAUCAGGCUUUUCACAGCGCUGUCUGGCUGCCCGUCCUGCUCUGUCACAGAGAAACGCACACAGAGCCGCGUGAGUCAGAGAUUUUAUAGCCCGUUCACGAUCCUUGAUUGAUGUCAACGCUGCUGUGUUCCCGCUGUCCUCCCGACUCCUCCGAAGCGACGCGAGGCUGGGGGCGCCUGAGCUUGGCAAAUGAGGGCAGGAGGAGAGGUCAGCGGUGUCUUGUGGGUCAGAGAGCUCCUGAAAAAAACCCCUAGAGCAUCUGGCAGCUGAGACAGCUGCUGGUUGGGAAGAAAAUGGCCUCUGAAUUUGACAUCACUUAAUUAAGAGAGUGCCACAGCUCGUGUUCCCCCUCCUCGCUUUGCUUCUGUACAUUGCAGCAGUGGGGGUUGGGUAAUCGCACUUUCCCAGUGAAGCUCUUGGGUAUAGGAGCUGUCUUCUGUUCAGGCUCAUUGAAGACACAAUUAAAUGCCUCUUUGUUUAGCAAGAGCUGAAACAAUGCAAAAAUGCCACCCAGGAGUGAGACCACAUGCAAAUGUGCACUGUUGUGGCCUGGCCAGAUGGUGCAGGCACUGACUGAGAUUCUCGUACGCAAUGCAACAGUUACGUAGGUUGUGUGUGUGUAUGUAAAAAAGAGAAACUGCACAACCAUCACAAGUGCACACAAAGACAAAUGUCCCAAAGAUGGCCGCAAAAAAAAAAGAGUAGCAUGAUCUUAAAAAAUAGGAGUGAAAGAGAACCCUUGGAGAAAAGAAAAGUACCCAGAAGAAGAGACAAACCUGCGGUCAAAGCAAAAUAGUCUUACUAUGGCUAGAGAAAACAAACCAAGACUUUAUAAACGUCCUUUGAAAAUGAACUGAGUUGCACUGAAGAAAUACCUGCCUUAAUUUUUCUUCUUUAAAGAAAAAUUGUCAGUCUUCUUUAAAGAAAAAUUAUGCAGGAUUUCGAAGUCUGUCUAAUUCUGCAAGGUGAAAGAGGUUGCAAUAUAUUGUAAGCCUCGGCAUCACUCUUACACCUCCCAUUGGUGACGAUGCAAACUAAAUGACUGAAAGGCCCAGUACAGCCUCAGUUCUUUUGUUUUGUGUUGCUUGUUCAAGCCGUGCUGCCUCUUGCAGCGUAUGCAUUAAUGCAGUGGAUCAAAAUUCCUGCUAUGAUUUGAGAACGUUUCUCUCUGAAUUCAGCAAUGCUAUUCCGGUACCCAAGAAUCUUAGCAUUUUCCAGUAAAUGCGUAUGAAGCUGGCUGUUUAUCGUGGGAACAAAGGAAAACAAGCUACAUCAUUUUAAGCAAAGUGCUGUUUUAUGAAAAGCAUUCCUGUUUAACCAAUUAAGUUGCAAGCUUUAAAGAGAGAAACUCCACUGCUCGUAAUAUUUGAAAGAAUCCAUGAAUGUGUCUAGAGGUGAUGAUAAAAACUUUUAUUCUUUACUAUGGAAACACAAUAAAAGUCAUGGAGUGCAGUUCUGCCCCAAUGAAUUCAAUCGGGAUGUUACUGAUCUCAACAGGGAUUUCACCCAGUUUUUGUCAUCAAAGUCAAGGCCAUAAAAAAUAGGCGUAAUAAUAGUAAAAUACAGUGGUGUGUCUCCACCUCAGAUAUCAUGGACAGUACUAUGAGACUUUAAAAAUUCUUUUUCUUUUCAAAAUCAAACUAAGAUCAUCAGAUUCUUAACCACAUAAAGCACAACUGCUAUUCUAAAAGUGUGAUAUCGCUGAUGUGAGUGAUCUGCUCCAUUUCCACGACACCUCUUUGCCUUCUAUCUUGAUUUUCCUCUUGGUUUGAAGAUGUCACUUGCAAGGCAGCCACGUCACUGCUGACGAUCUUGCUUUUGUAUGUCAGUAACUAGAAGCAAAGAUUACAGGAGCUCAUAAUCCUCUCAUUGCUCUUACAAGUUGCAGGAUAACUUCUGACGUUGUCUUUAGGGGCUUUGUGCCUCUGUAACUCAACAAAUCAGAGGAAACAACACCAAAUCACAACACAUGCUUGCUUCCUAUUUGCGUGGUAAUAAGGUUGUCUGAGCUCAGUUGUACUACAUUCAUCUAUCUUAUUAAACAUUGUUAGUGAGCAUACCUGCCUUAUAGGGGACUUUAUAUGGUUAUUCUUGCUUUGCAUAAGAAAAAUGACACAGCCAAAUGCUAUAUGACAUUCAGUAUCAUUUGAAGGUUAACGCUGAUUCACGGUUCCCAGUAAAGUGACAUUCUCAGCUAUGAAA